rnacentral:rRNA from 1 species
GUGUCCUACGGGAGGCAGCAGUAGGGAAUUUUCGUCAAUGGGCGCAAGCCUGAACGAGCAAUGCCGCGUGAACGAGGAAGGUCUUCGGAUCGUAAAGGUCUGUUGAAGGGGAAAAAGAGCGGAGAGAGGAAAUGGUCUCCGAUUGAUAUUACCCUUCGAGGAAGUCACGGCUAACUACGUGCCAGCAGCCGCGGUAAUACGUAGGUGGCGAGCGUUAUCCGGAAUGAUUGGGCGUAAAGGGUGCGUAGGCGGCCUGCUAAGUCUGGAGUGAACGGUACUGGCUCAACCGGUACCG